rnacentral:rRNA from 1 species
GAGUUUGAUCUUGGCUCAGAUUGAACGCUGGCGGCAUGCCUUACACAUGCAAGUCGAACGGCAGCACGGGAGCUUGCUCCUGGUGGCGAGUGGCGAACGGGUGAGUAAUGCAUCGGAACGUAUCCUGGAGUGGGGGGAUAACGUAGCGAAAGUUACGCUAAUACCGCAUAUUCUGUGAGCAGGAAAGCGGGGGACCUUCGGGCCUCGCGCUCUUGGAGCGGCCGAUGUCGGAUUAGCUAGUUGGUGAGGUAAAGGCUCACCAAGGCGACGAUCCGUAGCAGGUCUGAGAGGAUGAUCUGCCACACUGGAACUGAGACACGGUCCAGACUCCUAGGGAGGCAGCAGUGGGGAAUUUUGGACAAUGGGGGCAACCCUGAUCCAGCCAUGCCGCGUGAGUGAAGAAGGCC